rnacentral:rRNA from 1 species
AGAGUUUGAUCCUGGCUCAGAUUGAACGCUGGCGGCAUGCCUUACACAUGCAAGUCGAACGGCAGCAUGGAGAGCUUGCUCUCUGAUGGCGAGUGGCGAACGGGUGAGUAAUACAUCGGAACGUGUCCGUUUGUGGGGGACAACCGUCCGAAAGGAUGGCUAAUACCGCAUAAGACCUGAGGGUGAAAGCCGGGGACCGCAAGGCCCGGCGCAGACGGAGCGGCCGAUGAUUGAUUAGCUAGUUGGGGAGGUAAAGGCUCACCAAGGCGACGAUCAAUAGCUGGUCUGAGAGGACGACCAGCCACACUGGAACUGAGACACGGUCCAGACUCCUACGGGAGGCAGCAGUGGGGAAUUUUGGACAAUGGGGGCAACCCUGAUCCAGCCAUGCCGCGUGCGGGAAGAAGGCCUUCGGGUUGUAAACCGCUUUUGUCAGGGACGAAAAGCUCCGGAGUAAUAUGCCGGAGUGCUGACGGUACCUGAAGAAUAAGCACCGGCUAACUACGUGCCAGCAGCCGCGGUAAUACGUAGGGUGCAAGCGUUAAUCGGAAUUACUGGGCGUAAAGCGUGCGCAGGCGGUUGGGUAAGACAGAUGUGAAAUCCCCGGGCUUAACCUGGGAACUGCAUUUGUGACUGUCCGACUGGAGUACGUCAGAGGGGGGUGGAAUUCCACGUGUAGCAGUGAAAUGCGUAGAUAUGUGGAAGAACACCGAUGGCGAAGGCAGCCCCCUGGGACGCAACUGACGCUCAUGCACGAAAGCGUGGGGAGCAAACAGGAUUAGAUACCCUGGUAGUCCACGCCCUAAACGAUGUCUGCUGGUUGUUGGGAAUUUAAUUCUCAGUAACGAAGCCAACGCGUGAAGCAGACCGCCUGGGGAGUACGGUCGCAAGAUUAAAACUCAAAGGAAUUGACGGGGACCCGCACAAGCGGUGGAUGAUGUGGAUUAAUUCGAUGCAACGCGAAAAACCUUACCUAGCCUUGACAUGUCAGGAAUGCUUCGUAAAUGAGGCAGUGCCCGCAAGGGAACCUGAGCACAGGUGCUGCAUGGCUGUCGUCAGCUCGUGUCGUGAGAUGUUGGGUUAAGUCCCGCAACGAGCGCAACCCUUGUCUUUAGUUACUAACAUCAAGUUGAGGACUCUAGAGAGACUGCCGGUGAUAAACCGGAGGAAGGUGGGGAUGACGUCAAAUCAUCAUGCCCCUUAUGGCCUGGGCUACACACGUACUACAAUGGCUAUUACAACGUGCAGCGACAGCGCAAGCUGAAGCGAAUCACUGAAAGAUAGUCUCAGUUCGGAUUGAGGUCUGCAACCCGACCUCAUGAAGUUGGAAUCGCUAGUAAUCGCGGAUCAGCAUGCCGCGGUGAAUACGUUCUCGGGCCUUGUACACACCGCCCGUCAUACCAUGAGAGCUGGCAAUACCCGAAGCCGGUGGCCUAACCGCAAGGAAGGAGCCGUCGAAGGUAGGGCUGGUGAUUGGGGUCAAGUCGUAACAAGGUAUCC